rnacentral:rRNA from 1 species
UACGUAGGGUGCGAGCGUUAAUCGGAAUUACUGGGCGUAAAGCGUGCGCAGGCGGUUUUGUAAGCCAGAUGUGAAAGCCCCGGGCUUAACCUGGGAAUGGCAUUUGGGACUGCAAGGCUUGAGUGCGGCAGAGGAGACUGGAAUUCCUGGUGUAGCAGUGAAAUGCGUAGAUAUCAGGAGGAAUACCGAUGGCGAGGGCAGGUCUCUGGGCUGACACUGACGCUCAUGCACGAAAGCGUGGGGAGCAAACAGG